rnacentral:rRNA from 1 species
AUUGAACGCUGGCGGCAGGCCUAACACAUGCAAGUCGAGCGAGCGGCGGACGGGUGAGUAAUGUCUGGGAAACUGCCUGAUGGAGGGGGAUAACUACUGGAAACGGUAGCUAAUACCGCAUACCACCAGAGUUGCACAAAUGGGAUUGGCGAGUAGGUGGGGUAACGGCGCACCUAGUCGCCGAACCCUAGCUGGUCUGAGAGGAGGACCAGCCACACUGGAACGGAGACACGGUCCAGACUCCUACGGGAGGCAGCAGUGGGGAAUAUUGCACAAUGGGCGCAAGCCUGAUGCAGCCAUGCCGCGUGUGUGAAGAAGGCCUUCGGGUUGUAAAGCACUUUCAGCGGGGAGGCGUUACCCGCAGAAGAAGCACCGGCUAACUCCGUGCCAGCAGCCGCGGUAAUAC